AGUGAACGCUGGCGGUAGGCCUAACACAUGCAAGUCGAACGGCAGCACAGUAAGAGCUUGCUCUUACGGGUGGCGAGUGGCGGACGGGUGAGGAAUACAUCGGAAUCUACUUUUUCGUGGGGGAUAACGUAGGGAAACUUACGCUAAUACCGCAUACGACCUACGGGUGAAAGCAGGGGAUCUUCGGACCUUGCGCGAUUGAAUGAGCCGAUGUCGGUUUAGCUAGGUGGCGGGGUAAAGGCCCACCAAGGCGACGAUCCGUAGCUGGUCUGAGAGGAUGAUCAGCCACACUGGAACUGAGACACGGUCCAGACUCCUACGGGAGGCAGCAGUGGGGAAUAUUGGACAAUGGGCGCAAGCCUGAUCCAGCCAUACCGCGUGGGUGAAGAAGGCCUUCGGGUUGUAAAGCCCUUUUGUUGGGAAAGAAAAGCAGCAGGUUAAUACCCCGCUGUUCUGACUGUACCCAAAGAAUAAGCACCGGCUAACUUCGU
rnacentral:rRNA from 1 species